rnacentral:rRNA from 1 species
AUUGAACGCUGGCGGCAGGCCUAACACAUGCAAGUCGAGCGGAUGAAGGGAGCUGGCUCCUGGAUCAAGCGGCGCACGGGUGAGUAAUGCCUAGGAAUCUGCCUGGGAGUGGGGGCUAACGUCCGGGAACGGGCGCUAAUACCGAAUACGUCCUGCGCGUGAUAUUGGGUGUUCUUCGGACAUCACGCUAUCAGAUGAGCCUAGUUCGGAUUAGCUAGUUGGUGGGUUAAUGGCCUACCAAGGCGACGAUCCGUAACUGGUUUGAGAGGUUGAUCGGUCAAAUGGGAAUUAGACAACGGGCAGAACUCCUAGGGGAGGCAGAAUUGGGGAUUAUUGGCCAUUGGGCGAAAUCCUGCUCCAGACGGGCGGGUUGGUUGAAGAAGUUCUUCGGAUGUUAAAGCAUGUUAAGUUGGGAGGAAGGGUAGUAAGGUAAAAACUUGCUGUUGUGACGGUACCAAAAGAAUAAGCAACGGCUAACUUCGUG